GAUGAACGCUGGCGGCGUGCUUAACACAUGCAAGUCGAACGGAAAGGCCCUGCUUUUGUGGGGUGCUCGUGUGGCGAACGGGUGAGUAACACGUGAGUAACCUGCCCUUGACUUUGGGAUAACUUCAGGAAACUGGGGCUAAUACCGGAUAGGACCUCCUGCUGCAUGGUGGGGGUUGGAAAGUUUCGGCGGUUUGGGAUGGUCUCGCGGCUUAUCCGCUUGUUGGUGGGGUAGUGGCUUACCAAGGCUUUGACGGGUAGCCGGCCUGAGAGGGGGACCGGCCACAAUGGGACUGCGGUACGCACCAGACUCCUACGGGACGCAGCAGGGGGGAGUAUUGCACAAUGGGCGGAAGCCUGAUGCAGCAACGCCGCGUGCGGGAUGACGGCCUUCGGGUGGUAAACCGCUUUCGCCUGUGACGAAGCGUGAGUGACGGUAAUGGGUAAAGAAGCACCGGCUAACUACGUG
rnacentral:rRNA from 1 species